GGUUGAUCCUGCCAGUAGUCAUAUGCUUGUCUUAAAGACUAAGCCAUGCAUGUCUAAGUAUAAGCACUUGUACUGCAAAACUGCGAAUGGCUCAUUAAAUCAGUUAUAAUUUAUUUGAUGGUAAAUACCACUUGGAUAACCGUGGUAAAACUAGAGCUAAUACAUGCGUAAAAACCUGACUGGGAACGGAAAGGUUGUAUUUAUUAGAUACAAAACCAAUAAAAAAGGGUAGUAAUAUCUUUUUUUUCUAUUGGUGAUUCAUAGUAAUUAAACUAAUCGUAUAGUCUUGUA
rnacentral:rRNA from 1 species